GAACACGACGGAGCACCUCAAAACGGGACAAUUUCAACGUAGAAGUAUGUAAAUGUUAUUACACGCGGUCGAGGAAAUGUUUGACUUCGCGACGACGACCACGACAACGACAAUGUUGGAUUCGCGUGGACGGUGAAACAUGGAACACGAGGAAUUUUUGCCGCCGUUCUACCCGAAAAGGAAAGUCUUCUAUUGUUUAAGAAAGAAAAAUUUCUAGGAAGAUCGCGGCAAUCCUCGUGUAUCUUUCGGUCGGCUGAAAAAUGUGCUCGUCCGUGGACGCGUACGGAACACAACAACGUACCACCAAAUAUUAAUCACCGCGACGAAGGGGGCAAAAAGGGACGCAGGGUUGCGAAGUAGACGCUAAAGCUGCUCCACAGAAUUCCGACCGACUGAGGUUAGAUACAUUGAACGCAACAUGCCGCAAACAUUUAUAUACGGGGGGCUGCACAUACACCAGCCCUCGUGUACGCAAGUGUGCCGAGACUAUGGGAGCGAGACAGGGUGGAGUAAGUAGGGGUAGCAACAACAGAGAGAGAAA
rnacentral:misc_RNA from 1 species